GCUCGAGUGGCGAACGGGUGAGUAACACGUGAGUAACCUGCCCUUGACUUUGGGAUAACUUCAGGAAACUGGGGCUAAUACCGGAUAGGAGCUCCUGCUGCAUGGUGGGGGUUGGAAAGUUUCGGCGGUUGGGGAUGGACUCGCGGCUUAUCAGCUUGUUGGUGGGGUAAUGGCCUACCAAGGCGGCGACGGGUAGCCGGCCUGAGAGGGUGUACGGCCACAUUGGGACUGAGAUACGGCCCAG
rnacentral:rRNA from 1 species